GCUUAUCUUGCGCAGCUUAGGUGGGAGGCUAUGAACCUUUUCUUCUGGGAAGAGGGGAGCCAUCAGUGAGAUACCACUCUUGGUAAGCUAGAGCGCUCAGUCUUCACCGUCAUCCGGUAAGACGACAGUUUCAGGCGGGCAGUUUGACUGGGGCAGUCACCUCCCAAAAGGUAAUGGAGGUGUGCAAAGGUUCCCUCAGGCUGGACGGAAAUCAGCCAUAGAGUGUAAGAGCAUAAGGGAGCUUGACUGCGAGACUGACAUGUCAAGCAGAGACGAAAGUCGGCUUUAGUGAUCCGACGGUGCUGUGUGGAAAGGCCGUCGCUCAACGGAUAAAAGUUACUCUAGGGAUAAC
rnacentral:rRNA from 1 species